GCAUUAGCUCAGCUGGUCAGAGCGUGGUGCCGAUAACACCAAGGUUGUAGGUUCAAUCCCCAUAUGGGACA